GUGGGGAAUCUUCCGCAAUGGACGAAAGUCUGACGGAGCAACGCCGCGUGAGUGAAGAAGGUUUUCGGAUCGUAAAGCUCUUUCGUUAGGGACGAACGUGCUCUUUGUGAAUAAUGAGGAGUAAUGACGGUACCUAAAUAAGAAGCCACGGCUAACUACGUGCCAGCAGCCGCGGUAAUACGUAGGUGACAAGCGUUGUCCGGAAUUAUUGGGCGUAAAGCGCGCGCAGGCGGGAUAUCAAGUCUGUCUUAAAAGUGCGAGGCUCAACCUCGUGAGGGGACAGAAACUGGUAUUCUUGAGUGUCGGAGAGGAAAGUGGAAUUCCAAGUGUAGCGGUGAAAUGCGUAGAGAUUUGGAAGAACACCAGUGGCGAAGGCGACUUUCUGGACGAUGUCUGACGCUGAGGCGCGAAAGCUAGGGGAGCGAACGGGAUUAGAUACCCUAGUAGUCC
rnacentral:rRNA from 1 species